GUGCCGCAAACAGAUGUUCCUGCAGUUUCGGCCAAAAAUCUGCAGAUGGCAGCAAAUAUGGAUUUUACUACUAUUUGUAGGGGCACUACUACUUACUAUCUCCCUCCUGUUCAGCACGAAGCCGCAGAGAACAUCUUCAAAUUUGAUGAAAUUGUUCGAGAACCACAACCAACCCGUCGAGGACCUGGACCAUGCCAUGAACCUCUUCGCAGGAAUAAACAACGAGACAGGCGCCGACCAUCCGAUCGUCCCGAACAUCGUCCACUUCAUCCUCUUCGAGGACCCCAGAUGAGCUUCGUUCACUUCGUCUGUGUCCUGGCCGCGCUCCGCAACCAGCGCCCCGAGCGCAUCUACUUCCACACGAACGUUGCGCCCUCUGGCAACUACUGGGAGCGGCUCCUCAAGCUCGGGCCCUUCACCGAGCGGCUCGUCCUGCGGCACAUGGAGAUGCCGACCGAGAUCUUCCACCAGAGGAUCCGGCCGCGCUGGCGCGUCUUCCACGGCGGCGACAUCGCCCGGAUCCGCGUCCUCAUGCAGUACGGUGGCAUCUUCCUCGAUAACGACUCCUAUGUCGUCAGGAGCCUCGAUUUCUUCCGCAGGUUCGAGAUGACUAUCGGCUGGGACGAGAAUCAGUUCCUUGGCUCUCAGAUCCUCAUCGCGCACAAGGACGCCAGAUUUUUAUACCGGUGGCUACACUCCUACGACAAGGCGUACAACUCGAAGCGGUGGUACUACAACGCGGGCGAACUGCCGACCACAUCCGUUCUGCACCACCACCCGGAACUCGUCCAUCGCGUCAAGGUCCUUUUCGGGAACGACCUGAAAUUCAGGUACAAGCUCUUCAGGCAGUACUGGCCCGACUGGAGACAGCACUACACUUUCCACCUCCUCGCGCGGCACCUCGGGAAGCUCCGCAACAUCUCGAGCGUCGCCACGUAUCCCGUCGUCUUCGACGAGCACAACGUUCAAAAUUAUCCCAUCACCUUCCGCGAGAUGGCCAAUGAGGUCCUCGAUUACGAGAAGCACCUUUUAAAAGGAGGCGACUUUUGA
rnacentral:lncRNA from 1 species